rnacentral:rRNA from 1 species
GGGGAGAUUCAUCGUCAGCUUAUUUUAUAUUUUUUUGAGCUAUGAUAUCAGCUACUACUUUGUAGUUAUUGCUCGUACAUUCUCAAUUGAAUGUGAUAUAUUGUCGGCGUGCACUUCUCCCCUAGUAGGACGUCGCGACCCGUUGAGUGUCGGUCUACGGCCCAAGUGGUAGUCUUUCAUUUUUUACGAUUUGAAGACCCUUGGUGUUUCCUGACUGGCUAUUCGGCGGUAUUCGUACGGUAUUAAGCCGCAUUAAUGCGUCCAUAACCGUCGCAAGCACGGUUUUAAAGUUUAGCAGUACGGACCUAGUGCCGUCGCAAAUUUUAACCGGCUGUUGGUUGUACGGUAUUCUAGGACUGGCUGUUAAUAUCGGUCA